rnacentral:other from 1 species
CAUCCCCUGCGGUGUUCGCCAAGGUCAUGGAAUCCUUGAACCAAUAUUCUUUGCAUCUGGCUGGUAACCGCAACGUCGCCGUUGUGAGCCUCCUUCACGGAGGCACCUGAAGCGACAGGAAGCUGGCCGCUCUGAACCGCAGGUUCAGGAUGCCGGCCUAGCGGCACAGGCGGGGGACCU